AGCGAACGCUGGCGGCAGGCCUAACACAUGCAAGUCGAACGGAUCCUUCGGGAUUAGUGGCGGACGGGUGAGUAACACGUGGGAACGUGCCCUUUGGUUCGGAACAACUCAGGGAAACUUUAGCUAAUACCGGAUGUGCCCUUCGGGGGAAAGAUUUAUCGCCAUUGGAGCGGCCCGCGUCUGAUUAGCUAGUUGGUGAGGUAAGGGCUCACCAAGGCGACGAUCAGUAGCUGGUCUGAGAGGAUGGCCAGCCACACUGGGACUGAGACACGGCCCAGACUCCUACGGGAGGCAGCAGUGGGGAAUCUUGCGAAAUGGGCGAAAGCCUGACGCAGCCAUGCCGCGUGAAUGAUGAAGGUCUUAGGAUUGUAAAAUCCUUUCACCGGGGACGAUAAUGACGGUACCCGGAGAAGAAGCCCCGGCUAACUUCGUGCCAGCCGCCGCCGUAA
rnacentral:rRNA from 1 species